GGGGCUAUAGCUCCGCUGGGAGAGCGCCUGCCUUGCACGCAGGAGGUCAGCGGUUCGAUCCCGCUUAGCUCCA
rnacentral:tRNA from 1 species